GAGUCCAGAUUAAUGUUUGUGCCAAAUUUGAAGAAUUUCCCUCACACAGUUACGGAAAUAUUGUGUUCAUGAAAAUGGAACAGACGGAUGGACGGACAACCCAAAAAUAUAAAAACCUGCCUGAUGCAGGCCGCGAGCCUGCAAAUGGAUCCUUUCGGGCCAGGUUGCCGGUGAAGGAUGGCCACUUCACUGGAUGACCAUCCUACACUUCCUUUUCUAUAAAAAAGCUGCAGAGAAUCCAGACUAGAAUCCAGGCCCUUUCCACUGCCCACAUCAGAGGUGCCACCAUCCAGCGUGACUUGAUGCACCAGGACAGGCUGGGACCCCUCAGCAGGCCCACAGUGGACAGCUGUGAUUACUGCUGACAAUAAUUUAUGGUCCCUUCUGAUUGAAAACAUGAGAGCUGGAGAUAGAAGGGCUGGUGCGGAGUCAAGGCACCACCUUAAGAUAUAAAACUGAGGCCGCAGCUGCUGUCAGAAGCAGGACUCCUGCCAAGCUCUGCAGGCCCUCUGCCCAUCCAGACACACACAAGCUCUCGUUUUGCUUUCUUUUCUCUUCUUUUAUAUUUUCCUUCCUCCUUUUCUUUGCCUUGUUGUAGUCCUCUUCUACAUUGUGUCUCUCAUCAUUUCUAUCUUGCUCAUAGUACUCAUAUACUUUGUUGUCCAAUUUUAACUUAGUGCAAUAUCAUACUGGAUGUUUGUCUCAGAAAAAAUCAAAUUAAAUUUAGCUGGAAAAGAGGCUAUUCUUUCGGUCCGAAUUGCAAAGAAUGCACAGAAGCGGCAUCAAAAUACAUAAAGUAAAACAAUAAAAACACUCCAUGAAAGGAACGAUGCGAAAAUGUAAUAUUGAGGAAUUGUGCAAAAUAAAAGAGGAACAAAUACUUAUC